rnacentral:tRNA from 1 species
UGGCAAGGUAGUUUAAGAGUUUAAAACAGUAGGUUGUGGUCCUUCAUAUAUGCUCGGCAGGGUUUUCUUGCCAU